rnacentral:rRNA from 1 species
UACAUGGGGUGCAAACGUUGCUCGGAAUCAUUGGGCGUAAAGCGCGCGUAGGCGGUUACACAAGUUGGAUGUGAAAGCCCACGGCUCAACCGUGGAAGCGCAUCCAAAACUGCGUCGCUUGAGUCUCGGAGAGGAAGGUGGAAUGCUUGGUGUAGAGGUGAAAUUCGUAGAUAUCAAGCAGAACACCUGCGGCGAAGGCGGCCUUCUGGACGGAUGACUGACGCUGAGACGCGAAAGCGUGGGGAGCAAACAGG